rnacentral:rRNA from 1 species
UCUCGAACACAGUAGUUAAGCUCUCCUGCGCCGAUGAUACUUGGUGGGCGACUGCCCGGGAAAGUAGGUCGUUGCCGGCU